rnacentral:snoRNA from 1 species
AUUCCUACAAUUUCUCUGAGUCCCAUGGCAAAUGACUGAGGAGACAAACC